rnacentral:rRNA from 1 species
CGGGGUCGGAACUUCGGUUCUGGCUUACGUGGCGCACGGGUGAGUAACACGUGGGAAUCUGCCCAUCUAUGGGGAAUAACUGCGGGAAACUGCAGCUAAUACCGCAUACGCCCUUCGGGGGAAAGGCUUCGGCCGUAGAUGGAUGAGCCCGCGUCCGAUUAGCUAGUUGGUGGGGUAAAAGCCUACCAAGGCGACGAUCGGUAGCUGGUCUGAGAGGAUGAUCAGCCACACUGGGACUGAGACACGGCCCAGACUCCUACGGGAGGCAGCAGUGGGGAAUAUUGGACAAUGGGCGAAAGCCUGAUCCAGCAAUGCCGCGUGAGUGAUGAAGGUCUUCGGAUUGUAAAGCUCUUUCGACGGGGAAGAUAAUGACGGUACCCGUAGAAGAAGCCCCGGCUAACUUCGUGCCAGCAGCCGCGGUAAUACGAAGGGGGCUAGCGUUGUUCGGAUUUACUGGGCGUAAAGCGUGCGUAGGCGGCUUGUCAAGUCAGAAGUGAAAGCCCGGGGCUCAACUCCGGAACUGCUUUUGAGACUGGCAGGCUUGAGUUCGGGAGAGGGUAGUGGAAUUCCCAGUGUAGAGGUGAAAUUCGUAGAUAUUGGGAAGAACACCGGUGGCG